rnacentral:lncRNA from 1 species
AAAACUUGAGAAAACAUGAAAAUAUAGGGGUAUGAACUCACCUUAAGUGCUUUCAGUAUAUGAUUGUUGAAGAAUGGAAGUGUUUAAUUCAAGAACACUUGGAGAUGCCUUGAAGGUCUUCGAGAAUCUAACAUUAUAGUUAUGGAGUUUGUGUAAGCAAUCAAAGAUUUGAGUAGAAGGAAGUGAAAUAAUAAUAGGGAGGAUGAAUUUUUACUUACUAAGAGUGGAAGAACACUUGAAAUCAGCCUUGAAUCUCGAAAAUUUGUGUAGAAAAAGUUUGAGAGAAAAGUGGUGUUUGUUACUUAGUGGAAUGAGAGAAAUGAGAGAAAAUGAGGAGUGUGGUUGUUUGUUCCAGCUCAAAAAACGNAAAACGUGGGGAUGGCUUGUGAGAGGGGUAAAAAGUACAAGGAAGUGACAAGGUAUGGUGGGGAGGAGUGUGGGUUAGGCAUGGAGUGGGUAUGGGGUUGCUUGUGUCAUAAAAUAAAGUAAAGUCAACACUCUACCUUUGUACUUCACCUACUCUCUUUUGGAUAAGGUUUUAUCCUUAAAACGUGAUAAAUCAUUAAUUAAGGAGUCUUAUAUGUUAAAAUAAAGUUCUGGGUGAAAAUCCCGUGUUAAAACAAUUAAAAACGGGCCUAAAACGCAAAAUUAGUCGAAAACCGGGAGAGAAAGGACUUCCAGCGAGACCUCUCGGUCCUAGGCCGAGGUUCGGUCCCUAAUGAUGCCGAGCUGGAGGCGAGAUGGGCGAACCAGAAGUGUGAAGCGAAGGAAAAGGCUCGGUCCUAGUCUCAGAAGCGAAGGCUCAGUCAAAGGCAUCAGGAUCCGAAAUGGACCGAAGGUUCGGGUUCGGGUGUGUAGGCGAGGUUCGGGCCCGAGAGGACCUUUCGGGUUCGGUUUCAGCAGCCUUCGGCUCAGAAGGGUUCGGUUCCUAAGAGGGCUUUCGGUUCCUAAGAGGACUUUCGGUUCCUAAGAGGGGUUUCGGGUCCUAAGAGGGGUUUCGGCUCCUUAAGUCUGUUUUUCGCGUAGACUUCCGUUUUUGGGCUGUUUUCGCCAAAUUCGAGGGUCGGGAUGCCCCGAGUGAUUAUAGAAAGUUGAGAGAGAUUUUGAGAGAGAUUUGAGAGAGAUUCCACAUACUUAGAGAGAUUUGGGAGAGAUUUGACAUUCUUGGAGAGAUUUCUCAUACAAAGAGAUAUUUGGGAGAGAUUUCACAUACUUAGAGAGAUUUGGGAGAGAUUUGACAUUCUUGGAGAGAUUUCUCAUACAAAGAGAUAUUUGGGAGAGAUUUCACAUACUUAGAGAGAUUUGGGAGAGAUUUGACAUUCUUGGAGAGAUUUCUCAUACAAAGAGAUAUUUGGGCGAGAUUUCACAUACUUAGAGAGAUUUGGGAGAGAUUUCACAUUCUUGGAGAGAUUUUCAUACAAAGAGAUAUUUGGGAGAGAUUUGACAUUCUUGGAGAGAUUUCUCAUACAAAGAGAUAUUUGGGAGAGAUUUCACAUACUUAGAGAGAUUUGGGAGAGAUUUGACAUUCUUGGAGAGAUUUCUCAUACAAAGAGAUAUUUGGGAGAGAUUUCACAUACUUAGAGAGAUUUGGGAGAGAUUUGACAUUCUUGGAGAGAUUUGGACAAUAGAGAGAGAUAGAGUGAAAACGACUGAGAGUGGUUUCAUGUGUGACAAUAGUGAGUGUUUGGCUCCUCAACGCAUGGUCCAUGAACCCCGUUAAGCCAUGUUUUAGGAUCUUACACACUCCCGAUGAGUAUGCAACAUUGUUUUAUUGUUCUUGUUCAUUGUUUAGUAUUGAGGUUAAGAAAAAUUAAACACUCAAAUUUUUCCAAGUGAUGUUUUCUCAUUAAGAUAGUGAGUUAUACAGUAAUUACAUAACACAAACCCUAAUAUACAGGGUUUAAUUGAGUUGACCGGUUUGGCUCGUUGACUUUGUUGGGCUUAGACUUGACCCGAAUUUGACUAUUGUCACAUCAUCCCCCCGUUAGAGGGAAUUCCGUCCCGAAAUUUACGUUUUGGCCGGGACAUCAGGAGUUUGGGAAGAGUUGCGGGUAUUUUUGUUUCAUUUGGUCUUCGCGUUCCCAGGUGAACUCAGGUCCUCGUUUAGCGUUCCAUCGUACUUUCACGAUGGGAAUACGACUUUGUUUCAUUCUUUUGACCUCUCGAUCCAUAAUCUCAACUGGUUCUUCUACGAAGUGGAGAUUUUCGUUAACUUCGAUCUCGUCAAGAGGUAUUACAAGUGUCUCAUCAGACAGACACUUCUUUAAGUUGGAUACGUGAAAUGUGGGGUGUAUGUUAUUAAGUUCUUGAGGUAAUCGGAGUUUAUACGCCACAGGACCAAUCCUGGCAAGGAUCUCAAACGGUCCGAUGUACCUCGGGUUUAGUUUCCCACGUUUACCGAAACGUAUCAUUCCUUUCCAAGCGGAAACUUUUAGUAAUACCCGAUCUCCGACCUGAAAUUCUAAGGGUUUGCGUUGCUUGUCUGCGUAACUCUUUUGUCGAUCACGGGAAGCCUUCAUUCUUUCCUGAAUUUGAACAAUCUUUUCUUUGGUCUCCCUUAUGAUUUCAGGACCAGUAAGGGUGAUAUUAGGGACUUGCGCCCUAGCUAGCUGAGUAUCCCCCACUUCGGCCCAACACAGGGGUGAUCUGCACUUGCAACCGUAGAGAGCUUCGAAUGGAGCGACUUUAAUGCUGGUGUGAUAGCUGUUAUUGUAGGAGAAUUCAAUCAGCGGCAAAUGGGUAUCACAUGCUUUACCAAAGUCUAUCACACAGGCUCUCAACAUGUCUUCUAAUGUUUGUAUAGUGCGCUCGCUUUGCCCGUCGGUUUGUGGAUGGUAGGCCGUACUCAUGUCUAGUCUAGUUCCCAAGGAUUUCUACAGGGCUGCCAAAAUCGCGAAGUGAAUCUACUAUCUCGGUCGGAGAUAAUGGAUAUUGGUACACCAUGCAGUCGCACAAUCUCCUUGAUGUAUGUCCUGGUUAACUUCUCCAUCUUGUCGGUUUCCUUUAUUAGCAGGAAGUGCGCAGACUUGGUCAAUCUGUCUACGAUUACCCAUAUAGUGUCAAACCCGCCUGAAGUCUUAAGCAGCUUGGUUAUGAAGUCCAUGGUUAUCCGUUCCCACUUCCAUUCUGGUAUAUCAGGUUGUUGUAGUAGUCCUGAGGGUUUCUGGUAUUCCACCUUGACCUUGGCGCAAGUCAGACACUUGCCCACAUAAGUAGCAAUCUCGACUUUCAUAUUCGGCCACCAGUAUAACUUUUUGAGGUCUAGAUACAUCUUGUCUGACCCUGGAUGGAUGGAGUAUCGAGUCUUGUGUGCUUCAUUCAUGACCACGUCUCGGAUCCCACCGAACUUCGGUGUCCAGAUUCGGUUACUGAGAUAACGAGUUCCGUCAUCCUUGACUUCUAAGUUCUUAUCCAUUCCCCUUAAUGCCUCACCUGCGACAUUCUCUGGUUUCAAGGCUUCUAGUUGAGCUUCUCGGAUUUGUGUGGCCAGGUGGGAAUGGAUGGUCAUGGUUAAGGAUCUUACUCGGCGGCCCGAAUAUUCCUUCCUGCUUAGGGCAUCAGCCACUACAUUGGCCUUGCCCGGGUGGUAGCGAAUUUCGNAUUGAUGGUCAUUAUUAAGGAUCUUACUCGGCGGCCCGAGUAUUCCUUCCUACUUAGGGCAUCCGCCACUGCAUUGGCUUUGCCUGGGUGGUAGCGAAUUUCACACUCAUAGUCGUUCAGCAGUUCAACCCAUCUUCGUUGCCGCAUGUUGGGCUCUUUUUGAUUCAGGAUAUGCUGAAGACUUUUGUGAUCGGUGAAGAUGGUACAUUUUAUGCCGUAGAGGUAGUGCCUCUAGAUCUUUAAAGCGAACACUACCGCUCCCAGUUCAAGGUCAUGGGUAGUGUAAUUAACUUCGUGUGUCUUAAGUUGCCUUAACGCAUAGGCGAUGACUUUCCCACUCUGCAUGAGCACGCAUCCGAGGCCUUGAUUUGAAGCAUCGCAAUAUACCACGAAGUCAUCAGUUCCUUCCGGAAGAGACAAGAUUGGCGCGCUGCAUAGAGCUUGCUUUAGUGUCUGGAAGGCGGCUUCUUGUUUAUCUUCCCAUUUGAACAUCACGUCUUUCUGAGUCAGGGUGGUGAGGGGCUUAGCAAUCUUGGAGAAGUUCUGUAUAAAUCUUCGGUAGUAGCCCGCGAGUCCCAAAAAUUGUCGGAUUUCCGUUGGCAUUGUAGGUGCUGCCCAAUUUUCAAUCGCCUUGAUCUUUGAGGGAUCCACAUGUAUUCCUUUCUUGCUUACCACGUGGCCAAGGAAUCCCACUUCACGGAGCCAAAAUUCACACUUUGAAAACUUGGCGUAAAGCUUCUCGGAUCUUAGCGUCUCCAAUAUUAGUCUCAGGUGUCGCCUGUGUUCUUCUUCGUUUCUUGAAUAAACCAAGAUAUCAUCGAUGAAUACGAUCACAAAUUUAUCCAAGAAGGGUCGACACACUCGGUUCAUCAGAUCCAUGAACACCGCAGGCGCGUUUGUUAACCCGAAUGGCAUCACUACAAAUUCGUAGUGUCCAUAGCGAGUUCUGAAUGUCGUCUUGGGGAUAUCUUCUUCUUGAACUCGCAAUUGAUGGUAACCCGACCUCAAGUCAAUUUUUGAAAAGUAGUUCGGUCCCUGAAGUUGGUCAAAAAGGUCGUUGAUUCGGGGUAGGGGAUAUCGAUAUUUGAUGGUAAGUUUGUUUAACUCCCUAUAAUCACGCACAUGCAAAAGGAUCCAUCCUUCUUUUUCACAAAUAGAACUGGUGCUCCCCAGGGUGAAAAGCUCGGUUUGAUGAAUCCCUUGCUUAAUAGCUCGCUCAAUUGACUAGACAGUUCUUGCAUUUCUACCGGUGCAAGGCGAUAUGGUGCUUUGGCUACAGGGGUAGCACCGGGAACCAAGUCGAUUCGAAAUUCGACUUGUCGUGCGAGCGGUACACCUUGCAGAUCUUCUGGGAAUACGUCAGGGAAGUUGCACACUUUCGGAAUGUCUUUGAUGUCCUUUACCCCUUGAUUCUUAUCCACGACGUGAGCUAAGAAGACGUGGUAUUCCUUUCGGAGAUACUUUCGGGCUUUGACACAAGAGAUGAUUUGUAGGUUCGCACUAGGUUUGUUGCCAUAAACGGUGAGGGUGUUGCCAUUCGGCUGAUUGAGGCGGACGGCCCUNUUAACAUAAAGUCGGCACGAUUAGGACCCAACCAAUCCAUACCAAUGAUGACGUCGAAAAUUUUUAUUGUGACCAACAUUAGAUCGAUUUUGAACAAAUGGUUGUCUAGAGUGAGGGUACACCCUAUGUAAAUAUCCUUAGCGCACUCAACCUUUCCGUUUGCCAUUUCUACAACGUAUGAAUCUUUUAAUGACUGGGAAUUUUGCCUAAGUAAAUGUUUAAAUUGGUGACUUACGAAACUUCUUUCUGCCCCACUAUCGAAAAGUACGCAUGUAUAAGGGUUAUUUAGGAGGAACGUAUCGGUAACCACCGUGGGGUCCUUGACUGCCUCUCCGUGUCCCAUUGUCAAGACUCUCCCUACACCACCAGCAUUAGGAGCUCGUGCCUUGGGGCAGUUUCUCCUGAAGUGUCCUGCUUCACCACAUCCAUAGCAGGUUUGGCUUGCCCCCACAUUGGCAGCUUGGUGGUUCGGUCGUGCUAGCGCUUUACAGAAACGAGCAGUAUGCCAUUUCUUGUUGCAGUUUUUGCAAUGCAUUUCCUGACAAGCGCCAUUGUGGUGGUAGUUGCACUUGUUGCACUUGGGGAGAUUUCCAGCAUAUUGCUUCGGUGGUGCUGGAGUGGAUGGAGUAGUAGCAGCAUGAAUCGCGGCAGUUUGUUGUUUCUUGGAGGGCCCUGGUGUCGGUUGUUUCUUUUUGUUACUCCAGAACUUUCUUUUAUUGUUAUCUCCUUUUGUUUGACUGGGGGUGGCGAUCACGGUACCACGGCUGGCCCUGUGAUCGAUAAGUUGCUGUGCCAAUUCCUUGGCACUCUCAAAGGUAGUAGGUUUCGAAGCUAGUACACUAUCAUGAAUCUGGGAUGAUAGCCCCCAAAGGUAUCGUUCUACCUUUUUCUCCUCCAGAGUGACCAUUGCGGGACAGAGGAGUGCUAGGUCAUUGAAUUGGGCGGUAUAAGCUUCGAGAUCCGUCCCCGACAUCUUGAGGUUCCAGAAUUCUUCCUCCAGUUUCUGCACUUCGCCUCUUGGGCAAUAUUCCUUAGCAUUAAAGCUUUUAAAUCCUCCCAGCUUAUAGAGUUAGCCACUACAGGANCAGCUUAUAGUUAGCCACUACAGGAGUAAGGGACUUAACUCUGUCGUUCCACCAAGUUAGAGCUCUUCAAGUGAAAGUGAAUGCUGCAUACUUGACUUUUCUUGCUUCGGGGCAAGCACAAAUCUCGAAGACUGCUUCGGUUCUCUCGAACCAUUGCAUUAGUGCGAUGACGCCCCCGCUUCCAUUGAAAGAAUCAGGUUUGCCAUUUGUGAAGUCCUUGUAAGUGCAUUCCUUUAUGCGCCCCGAACUGUCACCCUGAUUAGAGGGUGUAGCACCAGAUCCGGAUCCACCAUUACCGUUAGGGCCGAUUUGUGACAUAUCUGCUGCCACAGCUGCCGUCACUGCAGCCUGGAACAUUGCUGGAUCAAAUUGUGGUGGCGGCGGCGGAGGAGGUGGUGCUGUGCUACCGGAAGGUCUUGGUCUUUUCCUUGGUGGCAUAGUUAUGUCAUAAUUAUAAAAUGACAAGUUGGUAAGACCUUAAUAGUAAUAACGAGUCGAGGGCUACUGGUUUCAUCUUAAUUAUAUUUUGUCCCAAGUUUAUUACUUUAGAAGGUAAUUCAUCAAAAAGUUCAUGCAAUUAAACUUAUGAAUUUAAUAGUGUUGACCCAAGUAGAGUCAUGUGUUUGUUUAUGUCAACAUUCUAGAAAGCAAAAUACAUGCCAAAUCCGUUGAUAACUUGUUAGUACAUAUUGUUUUGAGAAAGUUUGACCUCACAAGGGUCUACAUUACAUCAUAAUAAAGAUAAAGUUUCGGCAGUACAAAAGCCCCUUUAACUAGUGUGAUCACUUAGUUGCGAGGUCAGCCUAUUCGCAAUAAAGAGUAGCACCAACGCAUACUCGAAAUCCUAUAUUUUUAACAAAAUGUGAGCAGUGCGAACACUACUUGCAGCGGGUGGCAUCCGUUCCAUGGUGUCCCUGGGAUGAGGUUGAGGCUCCCUGAAGCUCCGCAAUCCGGCGUUCGGCCGCGAUCACCCUCUCCUCGAGAGCUGCGUGCCUUUCCUGGUACUCCCUUACCUCCGAUCGAGCAGCGGUAAGGUCCUCGAUGAGUUGGUCCACUGGAUAGAAGUCGCUCUUCUUCUUCUUCUUCAUCCACCUCCUCUUCUUCUUCUUUGGGUUCCUCUUCGGGAUCCUCUUCAAUCAGCUCUUCGGGCUCUUCCUCAAUCCAGCCGGCAUUUCCCAGGUUGGGAAAGUAUGGGUCUCCUGGUAAAUGGAAUCCUGCCAUNUGCGCGAGAAAGGGGUGUAAGAAGCAGAUAGCGGUUAAUAAUAAGAAUAUUGCGAUAUAGCAACAUACAAAUACUCCUAUAGUAUUUUAAAUGUUUAGAUUUGGUUCUUAGGGCAUUCUUUGUAGGGUGAGGUUAGGUUGUUAGAUUUGUUGCCCCCUACGACUAUCCCCCAAAUAUGAGUAAGUCACUUCUUGGACAAAUAUAGUUGAUUAGGAUAUAUGCUUCCCAGAACUGAUUACUCAUACCAAGGCAUACUCGUAGCGUUCAACUCCUCUUCUUUUAGUUUAUGUUCUUCUAGUUAUGACACUACGCGAGUAUGUAAUGCAUGUAGGUCUACUUUUAAACAAGAAACUAUUCAUUUUCUAAAAGUAUACCUCGAUAGAAUGUUUUAAAAUCAGAAACUCUUAGUCCCAAAUGUAUUUAUAGUUUGUAUAUCCUAUGUUGUUUGAUAUACUUAAUUCACUAUAAACCGUGCUCUGAUACCAAUCUGUCACACCCCCAAACCAAGGAUGGCGGAAACGUCUGGGGGGGAGGGACUUCAUGUAGAGUAUCACAACAACGAGUAUAAUAGUGCUCAAAGUAAAUACAACCANUAUAUAAUUGAAAAAGUUACAUCAUUGUAUGAAUUACAUGUUUCAAAAUCAAUUACAAUAUGUUGACAAAAUAUGAAAUGUUUGACGCCUUAACGUCCCAUCCUCAAAAUGCUCUUGAUUUCCUGUUUAGUGAUUUCCUAAGAAUACAAGUUGUUUUGAAAAAAUGUCAACACUAAGGUUGGUGAGUUCAUAAGAGAUUUAGAGAAGUAAACCAUUUUUCCUUGUAAAAGCGUUAGAAUAUGUAUUCAGAAAAUCCAAUAUUUUCUUUACAAAAGCUAUGUGGUCCUAAAUCCCAAGACCAAAAAUGAACAAGUAUUUUACAUACUUAAUGAUACAAUCAUGGUUUUAAAUCGGCAUUAAACCCUUUUUGAUUAUAAAAAUUCCCGUAAACUUUAUGAGUUGUUAACUUCCUGAGUGAGUCGCUAUAACCAUACUAUGACUGAAUGAACCUGCCACGACGUUUCUCAGGCGUCGCGAAACUGAUAUGACAUUUGUCACCAUAGACCUGCCGGUCUAGANUGCCGGUCUAGCUGUUGCAUGCAGCUCAGGUGUGGGGUGUCUAACCCAAUAUAGAUCUAUACACAACUAUCACGUUCUCCCUACAAGAGACUCUGGAUAUAGCUACCAGGAAUUUAAGUCCCGUACUCGGACGUACGGAAAGAGAAUGUCUCACAAUUUAAGUUAACAAGUUUACGUGUGGUGUGUGUGAAUGUAAAACCUUUUUGUAUGAAUGUACCCUUUUUGUAUGAGUGUGUUAUGUGAUGAAUCAUAAACUAUACCUAUUAUAGUUUAUCAAAACAAGGGCAAAAAUGGUAAUGUACAUGAACUAUACUUAACAUAGUUUAUUCAAAUGUUUGUAUGUAAUAGGUGGACUUUAAUUAUAACAAAUUGUUAUUUCUAUGCUUUGUCUAGAAAAAUCCAUUUGUUAACUGAUGUAUGUAUACAUACUAAGACAAUAUUGUCAUAUAUUGCAAUAACAUAUAAUCACAUAAAGAUAUACACCUUGCUCAACAUGUUACAAGGUGAAAUGAUAUUGAUAGCAUUUUUCUGUUAUUAAUAUUUUCAUUUGCUGCUCUUAGAAAAUUUAUAGAAAAAUCAUCAAAGGUCCAAAUCAGAAUCCGUAAAUUCUUAGAGUUGGAAAAUGAGUCUAGUUUAUUCAUAAUUUUUAUUAUGAGUUUUAAUGAACUCUAACUUGUGUGAACAAAUCCAUAUUCACAGACUAGUCCGGAUUGGUGUUUGAGAUGAUAGACAGUUUUGUAAAAAUCACCAUAAAUUGUAGAAAAAUCGUAUGGAGAUGUACAAGUAGUCAUUUUAAAGCUAAGAAAUGGAACUACUUACACCUAAAAGAGUUAUGUAAACAAAAAUGUUUAAGUUGUCCAAAACAGUCUGUGAAUGGAGUCCAGUUUUUCUGAUGAAGGCUGUUAGAAAAAUUUAGUUUUGUUCUUGGUGUUUUACUUGUAUUCUCCCCCUAAAAACUUAAGAAAACAUGAAAAUGUAGGGGGUAUGAACUCACCUUAAGUGAUUUCAGUAGAUGAUUGUUGAAGAAUGGAAGUGUUUAAUUCAAGAACACUUUGAGAUGCGUUGAAGAUUUUCGAGAAUCUAACAUCAUAGUUAUGGAGUUUGUGUAAGCAAUCAAUGAUUUGAGUAGAAUGAAGUGCAAUAAUCACAAGGAGGAUGAAUUAUACUUACCAAGAGUGGAAGAACACUUGAUGAUAAGCCUUGGGAUCUCAAAUUAGAGAGAAAAGUUUGAGGGAAAAGUUGGAGUUGGAUCUUUGGUGAAAUGAGAGUAAUUGAAAGAAAAUGAGGAGAGAGGAUGAGUGAC